rnacentral:lncRNA from 1 species
AUUUAUGUGUGAAAUUGUGGUGUUCUGAAGACUUUGUGGUGCAGUCCAGUUUUAGAAACAUUUUCCAACGAAGGUGGCAUCUUAUUAGGAAGUGGAGAAGGAGAAGAAUUUUUCAAUUCAAAGGAGGAAAUCUCUUACAUAUUUCACAAUCAGUUUCAAACCAUUCACAAGUUUGUCAAUUCAAAGGGGGAAACCUCUUACAUAUUUCACAAUCAUAUUCAAACCACUCAAUGUAUACAAUAUCAUAAAACUCCAAUGAAUAUAACUUAACAUUGAAACUCAACAUUCACAACAUUUUAGAACAAGAUAAAAUUCAUGAGAUAAGAAUGAAAAUAAUAUUACAUAGCAAAUACAAUCAUGCAAUUUCAAUUUAGGUCACCAUACCUUCGCCUUAGCUUUCCUUUCCUGCUCAAGUCUUCUUUGUACACUAUCUUCCUCCCCUUCUCGCCACAAUUAUAACUCCUUUAAAAACUCACCCUAACACAUUAAAUAAAAGUGUAUUUAGGUUUGUUCAUUACAGUAGCUGGAAAAUAAGCAAACACUAACUGGAAAAAAAAUUAUGC